AUGGAGUCCAUGGAGCCCAUGGACAUCGACUGGAACAGGGUGGUGUCGCGCUUCGUGCUCGACGAGACCUACGAGGGCAUCGAGGCGCCGCACUGGGCCGACCUCGCCGACCCCGAGGCCCCCACCGCCGCCGUCGACGACGACGCCUGGUUCUGCCGCCCCGAUUGCAAGCAUCCCAAGACGGCCGACGACUUCCUCGGGCACACCCCCAGCCCCAAGGCCAAGCUGCUGCGAUCAAUGUCCGCCAUGAUGCCCUUCGCCGAGAGGGACGCUAACCUCAGGGACGCCAAUAACAAUCUGAAGAGACGAGGCGUCGUCGCCGGCGGCGGCGGCACUGCCGCCUUCGCCUCGCCCACCAAGCCCAAGCCGCCGCCCAAGAAGAGGUUCCAGGACGACGCCGAGAACCAGGACCCCGCGCUGACCACGCCGCCUCCCGCGGCAAGCAGGCCGCCGUUCGGCGCGCAGCGCUGGGCCAAGAACGCCAAGGAGGCCAUCAAGUCCAGCGCGGAGAGGCGGCCGGACGUUGCUGAGAAGGAGGCGCUGCUCGGCAGGAACCCAGCGCCGAGGCAGCUCAAGAGCACUCUCUCGGCGAGGAACCUCUUCUCCGGGAAGGACAUACUUGGCCAGAUAUCGGAUUUCUACAAUGAGCUCAAGCAGCGGAUGGCCGGCCAGCAACCUGUCUCAGAGUCAGAGGCCAUGGAGGAAAUGAGCCCAAGACCAAUAAACAGCAGUGAUGUGGUGAAGAAGGUGGAUUGUAGCAGCGGCGGCGGUGGUCGGGUUCUGCCGGACGCAGCGAAGAAGGUGGCGAGGCAAGGAACAGCAGAAAAGAGUCCAAGCCCAAUGAAGGGAAAGAAGAUUGGGUUGAAGGUGGAAGCAGGGAAGCCAAGAUCACCCUCUGUGUUGAAGGAGGUGAAGGCAACACCGCCUACUCCACAGCGGUUUCCAUCCCCCUAUGUAAACCGUGUCAAGAGCGUGAAAGCUGCAGGCGCAACAUCAAGCUCGCCACUCAAGAAGCCACUGAAGGAUAAGGGGACGCCUAAUAAAGAUCAGGAGAACAGCAGAGAUGCUAAGAGGCAACCUUUUGGGGUUAAAGAUAUGAACAACAACAGGGCUUAUGAGGCCGAAGAGAGCUCCAGUGGCGUGUUUUGGUUCUUGAAGCCCUGCACUUUCCUGGUGGAGUAG
rnacentral:rRNA from 1 species